UACAGGGGGGGCAAGCGUUGUUCGGAAUUACUGGGCGUAAAGGGCCAGUAGGCGGCCAACUAAGUCCGACGUGAAAUCCCCAAGCUUAACUUGGGAACUGCGUCGGAUACUGGAUGGCUUGAAUUCGGGAGAGGGAUGCAGAAUUCCAGGUGUAGCGGUGGAAUGCGUAGAUAUCUGGAGGAAUACCGGUGGCGAAGGCGGCAUCCUGGACCGACAUUGACGCUGAAAGGCGAAAGCUAGGGGAGCAAACGGG
rnacentral:rRNA from 1 species